rnacentral:rRNA from 1 species
AUGGUUGUCGUCAGCUCGUGUCGUGAGAUGUUGGGUUAAGUCCCGCAACGAGCGCAACCCCUACGUUUAGUUGCUAACGCGUGAAGGCGAGCACUCUAGACGAACUGCCGUUGACAAAACGGAGGAAGGUGGGGAUGACGUCAAAUCAUCAUGCCCCUUAUGUUCUGGGCUACACACGUGCUACAAUGGCCGGUACAGACGGACGCAAAGCCGCGAGGUGGAGCAAAUCCUAAAAGCCGGUCUCAGUUCGGAUUGCAGGCUGCAAUUCGCCUGCAUGAAGUCGGAAUCGCUAGUAAUCGCAGGUCAGCAUACUGCGGUCGAAUACGUUCUCCGGGCCUU